CAGUCGCCGCGGUAAAACGAAGGGUGCAAGCGUUAAUCGGAAUUACUGGGCGUAAAGCGUGCGUAGGCGGUUUCUUAAGUCUGCUGUGAAAUCCCCGGGCUCAACCUGGGAAUGGCAGUGGAUACUGGGAAGCUAGAGUGUGUCAGAGGAUGGUGGAAUUCCCGGUGUAGCGGUGAAAUGCGUAGAGAUCGGGAGGAACAUCAGUGGCGAAGGCGGCCAUCUGGGACAACACUGACGCUGAGGCACGAAAGCGUGGGGAGCAAACAGGAUUAGAUACCCCUGUAGUCCCUGUCUCUUAUAC
rnacentral:rRNA from 1 species